CCUACGGGUGGCAGCAGUGAGGAAUAUUGGUCAAUGGGCGGGAGCCUGCACCAGCCAAGCCGCUUGAAGGAAGCAGGCGCCAAGCGUCGUAAACUUCUUUUGUCGGGGAACAAAGGGCGCAACGUGUGGCGUUGUGAGUGUCACCGACGACACAGCCUCGGCUAACUCCGUACCAGCAGCAGCUGUAAUACGGAGGUUGCGAGCUUUAUCCGGAUUUAUUGGGUUUAAAGGGUGCAGAGGCGGUCCGGAAAGUCAUGGGUAAGAGCCCGGGGCACACCCCCGGCGAGCCGUUGAAACUGUCGGACUAGAGACGUCGAGAAGUACGUGGUAUGCGCGGUGUAGCGGUGACAUGCAGAGAUAUCGCGCAGAACUCCGAUUGCGAAGGCAGCGUACCGGCGCCGGACUGACGCUGAGGCACGAAAGCGUGGGUAUCGAACAGGAUUAGAUACCCGAGUAGUC
rnacentral:rRNA from 1 species